UCACUGCCCCACUCAUGCCGCAGGAUAUAAAGCAGAGUGACAGGGUCACAGGACUGCCAGAGGAAUACAGGCUGCAGUGCAGUGGUGCCAUCUGGGCUCACUGCAACCUCUGCCUCCCAGGUUCAAGUGAUCCUCAUGCCUCAGCCUCCUGAGUAACUGGGAUUACAGCUUCUAGAGGCUACCCACAUUCCUGGGCUAAUGGCCCCUUCCUACAUCUUCAAAGCCAGCAGUGGUGGGCUGAGUCUUUCUCCUGGUAUCAUCUCUUCAUUCUCUAUCUCCCUCUCCCAAUUUUAAGGACCUCUGUGAUUAUAUUGGGCACCUGGAUAUUGCAGGAUACGCUCUCUAUUUUAAGGCUAUGCUCCGUAAAGAGAGUGCCUCCUCUAGAAUCACAAGACCUAAGCAUGAAUCUUCCUUUGAAGGAUAAAAUGGAAGGAAAAAAACUGGAUGAGGAAAAGAAGAGUGGGGAAUAGAAAGAGAGAGAGAGAGAAAGAUGGAUAAAUUUUUAAAGUUACUAUAAUAAAAAUCU
rnacentral:lncRNA from 1 species